AGUGCUCACUAAAGGAAACUGAUGAUCCCAAUGACGGAGCUACUCAUGAUUAUGUAUUUUUUUGCUCUAUUUAAAGCUGUUUUGUUUGUUUUCCAAUUCUUUUAGGUGCAGUUUCUCUACACAGAAAGACCAAGGGAGCAAGUGGACACUGGCUGGUGAACUGGGAAGACCCUUCUAACAGAACUAUUGAGACUGUGGGAGCAAUCUCUGCUGAGAGGGAAGAUAAGUGCCACACCCCAAACUGAAGAGAGAAUAGGAGGAGACCUAUCUGGAUGGUUCACCGGACUGAAGGAAACUGGGCAACUCUAGAAACCUCAAAAGAAAACCAAAACAACAACGGGAUUUACUUUUGUCACCCAACUAUGAAGACCCACCUCUGCUGCAACACUGAACACAUUCAGCUCCUAGCUAAUAAUGACCUAACUGAAUAUACAAGGUCCUUGACCCUGAUUCACUAUAGAACCGUUGUACAAUUAUAGCUGCUCUCUGAAGUAACUCUAAAAUGCAU